AUUGAACGCUGGCGGCAGGCUUAACACAUGCAAGUCGAGCGGAGAUGAGGUGCUUGCACCUUAUCUUAGCGGCGGACGGGUGAGUAAUGCUUAGGAAUCUGCCUAUUAGUGGGGGACAACAUUCCGAAAGGAAUGCUAAUACCGCAUACGUCCUACGGGAGAAAGCAGGGGAUCUUCGGACCUUGCGCUAAUAGAUGAGCCUAAGUCGGAUUAGCUAGUUGGUGGGGUAAAGGCCUACCAAGGCGACGAUCUGUAGCGGGUCUGAGAGGAUGAUCCGACACACGGGGACUGAGACACGGCCCAGACUCCUACGGGAGGCAGCAGUGGGGAAUAGUGGACAAUGGGGGGAACCCUGAUCCAGACAUGCCGCGUGUGUGAAGAAGGCCUUAUGGUUGUAAAGCACUUUAAGCGAGGAGGAGGCUACUGAGACUAAUACUCUUGGAUAGUGGACGUUACUCGCAGAAUAAGCACCGGCUAACUCUGUGCCAGCCGCCGCUGUAAUAC
rnacentral:rRNA from 1 species